rnacentral:rRNA from 1 species
GAUGAACGCUGGCGGCGUGCUUAACACAUGCAAGUCGAACGGAAAGGCUCCUGCUUGCCGGGGUUCUCGAGUGGCGAAAGGGUGAGUAACACGUGGGUGAUCUGCCCUGCACUUCGGGAUAAGCCUGGGAAACUGGGUCUAAUACCGGAGAGGACGGUGGUUUGGAUGCCAUUGUGGAAAGUUUUUCGGUGUGGGAUGAGCUCGCGGCCUAUCAGCUUGUUGGUGGGGUAAUGGCCUACCAAGGCGUCGACGGGUAGCCGGCCUGAGAGGGUGUACGGCCACAUUGGGACUGAGAUACGGCCCAGACUCCUACGGGAGGCAGCAGUGGGGAAUAUUGCACAAUGGGCGCAAGCCUGAUGCAGCGACGCCGCGUGGGGGAUGACGGCCUUCGGGUUGUAAACUCCUUUCGCUAGGGACGAAGCGCAAGUGACGGUACCUGGAGAAGAAGCACCGGCUAACUACGUG